UACGAAGGGGGCUAGCGUUGCUCGGAAUCACUGGGCGUAAAGCGCACGUAGGCGGAUUGCUAAGUCAGGGGUGAAAUCCUGGAGCUCAACUCCAGAACUGCCUUUGAUACUGGCGAUCUUGAGUCCGGGAGAGGUGAGUGGAACUCCGAGUGUAGAGGUGAAAUUCGUAGAUAUUCGGAAGAACACCAGUGGCGAAGGCGGCUCACUGGCCCGGUACUGACGCUGAUGUGCGAAGGCGUGGGGAGCAAACAGG
rnacentral:rRNA from 1 species